ensembl:lncRNA
AGCAGCUUCACAGAGGACAUGGAGGUUGCCCUGGGCUCUGAAUGAUGUGCCCGUUUGGACAAUGGGGACAGAGGGUGACAAGGCAAUCCAGGUGGGGGGAAUGGCAGGAACAAAGGCCCAGAGAAAGGAAACCACUCCAUGGUUUCAAAAACGUGGUCCAAAAACAGCGAGUCACUUUCCAGCUUGCAAACAGCAUACACAUCCCCACUCCUCUGAUCUUCAAGCAUCCUUGUGAAGCUGGUAAGGCAGGUAUAAUUAGUUCCACUUUAUACAUAAGAAAACCAAGGUGCGUAGAGGUUGUAUGAUUUUUCCAAAGGUUUCAGAGCUCGGAUGCAGUGGAACCCAGAUUCAAACUCAAGCUCAAGCUUCCCAGAUCUACAUAAGGCUGAAAAGUUAAGAAAAGGUCAGACUACCAAGGGUCUUAAAUGCUGAGGAGGUUGCCAUCUCCUCUGCAGCCUCUGGGAGCCACUGAGGACUCUGAGCAGGGCUGGAAGAUCCCCUGGGCAGCUGUGAGCAGAAGAAGCCAGAGCAGAAAGAAGCUGGGAGCAGGAAGAUGAAGCAAGAAGCUGUGGCAGUCCCUCAGAGGUCAUUAGAUCCAACCUGGGCCGCGGGCCAGAGGAGGAAGGAGAACUCGGAUGCAGGAAGGGGAAGUCAGACUGCUCUCAUGCAGAGGGCAGGGAAGACGCUGCCUCUGCAGCUCUGCUUCCAAGGGGCUGGCUCCGUCUCCUCCCAAAGUCGGCUGGGCCCUGAGCAUCAAUGGCAGCUACAGUUUAGAGUGCUUACAAUGAGCAGGGCACUUUGGCAUGUAUUUCCUCAUUUAAAUCCUCAUGACAACCCUGUGAAGCGGCUUGCUCAUUUUACAGAUGAGCAAACUGAGGCACACAGUGAAGGAACUUGGCCAUGGUUGCCCAGGGAGGAAACGGCUUAGACUGGAAUGUGAACAGGUCCUCCCACCCCAAGCCUGAAUGCCUGGAUCACUACCUACAACCUCCCCAUUAGGUCUUACAGGCCACUCCGAUGGCCAGGCAUGGGGUGGCUCCUGUCACCCAUCAGAGGGCAUCUGCCUAGCUGCCCUUGGCCUACAAAAGCCUCCCCAAUCUGGCCCAAAGUUACCUCCUUCCUUUGUUCCCUCCCCCUGGGUCCCGAGGGAUCCUGCUGCCACAGCCCAGCAGGCAGGAGGCCAGAUCCAGGCUGAGAUACAGAGAGAGAGUCUCUGUGAGCCGAGACCCAGCCUGGGGCGUCACAGCAGGAGACGUCAAAGCUGGGCCAAGCUCAGUGGGACGGAGAUCAAAGCCAGCGGGGGGUGGCAGAGCAACAAGGAACAGAAAGGAGCAGGGGUGAGGCCGGUCCCAUAUCAUUCCUGUGGCUGCACGGAUGGGCUGGGGCCUCUUUGAAGGUCUGAGACAUCUGCAACCCUGGGUGCCAGACAGAAGGCCUCCUCUCCUCCCUGGUCCCCUUGUGGGGGGCUGGGGGCCCAUGAAGUGGCGGUCGAGAAGUUGUCUUGAGCACAUCAGACCAUGGGAGCAGGGACCUGCUUUUCUUGCAUGUCACUGUCCCCAGCCCCAAGCACAGGGCCUGGCACACAGGUGCUGUUCAAAGUUCUAGCUGCAGUCCUGCCAUUUGGGCAGCUUCUGGCCACCAUGAGAGAAUCGGUGUCACCAUGUCCAGCUGAUGUCAUUCCAGAUCACUGCAAAGGAAUGUGGAGUGUCCAUCAGCCCAAGUGACCUUGUUUGGAGUAACUACACCAUUGCAUGAGACUCAGAAAUUGCAAAAAUGCUCAGGAAUCCACAGAAGAAUCUCAGCCAGCCCCGGAGCCCCGGGAUCCCUGGACUGUGUAUUUCACUCUUGCCAGGGGUGCUGGUGCCAGAGGUCAGCGAGCUUUCACCUCCAUCCCUCCUCACUGCAGGCCGCUUCAGAGCCCCUCAGCCCAGCCGCAGUGCUGAGGCCGAGGAGGGAGGAAGAAGAGGACAGCUCCUGGGAGAGGCCACUCGGUGUCUGGCCCUCCAAAUGCAUGGAGUACAGAAACUUGGCUGGGCGCAGAAGCACCUCGUGACUGUGCAAAGCAAGUCCAGAUGGCAUGAGAUACACCACCACUGAUGCCAAGAAAUCCUGGGUGUGCCCCUUGGGGUGUCCCCUCCGAGGGCAGCCACAGCCCGGGCAUGGUGCACUCCUGACAAGUGGCCAAAGGCGCACAGAACCAGCAGCCUGCAAAGAAAAUUUGGUGAAUGCGGUUAGAUCAUGUCAACUUUAAUGUGCUUCCAGAGUAUUAACAACACCUCUGCAAGGUACCAAGGUACCAAGGUACCGUGUGACUCUUCAAAGGCUUCCCACAGGCCAUGUGUCCUUUAAGCCUCAUUCGAGAGAAAGACAGAACAGAUACCAUGGGGAUUGCGAAAGAUACUGUGACAAAUCUGAGGUCCAGCAAGAUGGCGGUGGAGAUGCGAGGACUUGAGCCUAGUUACUCACACCAGGCCUCAUCCAGAGGAUGCACACAGGGACUGUGUACCAUGAAGAGGCUGUCCGGAAGUUAGGAGCAGGGUCAGCCCACACAGUGGGGCAGAUUGUGCACUGCAUCAGGGCAUCCCUACCAAAGGGGUCCCAAUCACAUCUUGGACAUGGUAGAUCUGCAUGUUUAUUCCAUUUCUCUGGAUUGCAAUAAAGUGUCUAUUCUAAUAAAAUCAGUAUAAUACUUUCCCAACUGACAGAAGUAACAUGUCUUGGGAAAGGGUCCUCUUUUUCUAACCUGCACAGAGGUCCUGCAUGACUGGCAGCAACCCUGAUAGAAGCCACCCAUAUCUGGGAAGGCUGUACUUUUCUGGAAAGAAGCCAAAAGGAAGAGUGGUCGUCUUGCUACUCCCCCAGAAAUUCAGCUGCCCUAAUGGCAGAGGAAUCUGGGAAAGGGAGCAUGCAGGAUAUGUGUGUCUACAAAUCAACAAGACAAAAGACAAACAGUCUCAGAGGAAAAUGGGCAAAGGGCUUAUCCACUGACUCACAGAGGAGAAAAAGGCAGGGAACGCGUGAAGGUUGGUUGUGGCCACUUGUCAUUGUUCAUCCUGCACAGCACCCCAACUCCGUUCCUCCUGACCCUAGCUGACCUUCCAGGACACAGCAGCCUUUCACCAUUGCAAGUUGUCAUGGAGGGAGGCAGGUCCCCCGUCCCACAAUGGAAGCCCAAGGGGGCAAUUCCUCCCUCUCCACACGCUGGGGUCUUGGAGACCAGGCACAGGAACAUACUUGGCAUUUGGAUUUUGGGGUAUGUGACAGAUCCCAUGUAUGCAGUCCUCAGCUUCACAUUGUCAAAGGGAACAUAAAUCAACAAAGAGACGAGUUUUGCACCCAUCAGACUAACAUAAGUUGAAAUAAUUGAUGAUAUCCUUGGCAGUGAGGCUGCAGGGAAACAUGCUCUUGUGCACUGAUGGUGAAAAUGUAAGUUGCACAGGUUCCUUGGAGGAGGAGUGGCAGUAUUUACGACAAAGCACCUGCUCUCCCACUCAGUGCUCUCACUUCUAGUAAUCCACUCUGGAGAAAUUGUCACGCAUGUGCACAAAGAUACAUAGACAAAAAUAUUCAUUGUAAUAAUGAAAAAUUAGAGAUGAACUCAAUAUCCAGAAGUAGGAGGAAGGAGAACAGGCAGGCAGGGGUGAGGAAGACUGGACCAUGCUCUAGGCACUAACGUGAAAAUCUUCAGAGACACGUCUACCAACAACAGCUGACAAGUUUACCCUCCUAUAAGCACAAACACAAACGAAGAUUGUACUUCUGAUUGUACCCACAAUGCAAACACGUGGGGAAAGGUCUGAAUAGACACUCUACAGAUGGUUAACAGUAGUUGCUGCCAGGAAGAGAAGUGGAAUUUCGCUGUAUUUAUUCAGACUUUCACAAAUGAGUCUCCCUCUGUCUAUCCUUAUGUUCCUGGAGAGCCACGUGGUUAGGCUCAUGGACUCUUGGGUUGAGCUGCCUUGAGUUCAAAUCCUGAUCUUACUGUUUUCUUAAAUGUCUGACUUUGGGCUCCUGAUCUGAGCGUUAAUUUUCUUUUCUUUUCUUUUCUUUUCUUUUGAGGAAUAUUAGCCCUGAACUAACUACUGCCAAUCCUCCUCUUUUUGCUGAGGAAGCCUGGCCCUGAGUUAACAUCUGUGCCCAUCUUCCUCUACUUUAUAUGUGGGACUCCUGCCACAGCAUGGUUUGCCAAGCGGUGCCAUGUCCGCACCCGGGAUCCGAACCGGCAAACCCCAGGCCACCGAGAAGCAAAACGUGCAAACUUAACAGCUGCGUCACCGGCCUGGCCCCAGCAUUAAUUUUCUUAACUGAGGAAAUCCAUAUAAUGUGCUUAGCACAAUACCUAGCAUAUGAGAGUGGCUCUAUAAGCAUCUUAUUAUCUUGGCAUCUCUGCUCUCUCCCAGCCCCCAACCCUUUCAAAGCCACAGUAGAUGCUAAUAAAUGUUUGAUGAAUGAAUAAGCUUGCUGAUGGUAAGACUGUCUCCCUGAGGUCUAAAAAUGUGGAAAAGAAUAUGCUUAAGGAGGCCGAAUCUUACUAGUCUCACUUUUCCUCCGACUUAGUGUUUUUCACACUGUAGGUUAUAAUCAAUUAGGGGGUCAUACAUCAAUCUAGUGGGUAGCAAUCGACAUUUAAAAAAUACAGAAUAGAAAAUAUCAAAAUGUAAGUAAGAACAAGUAUUGUUUCCUGAAACUCGUUUUGUGGAUGUGUGUACUUGGUUGCAAUGUAAAUUGUAUUUUUUAAUGUUAAUCAUAGCAAAAAUUACAUGAGGAAACCCUGCUUCCAGCAGCCUUCCUUAGUUCAGUCUAGUCUAGUUCAGUGCUAAAGGUCAUGGGCCAGGGAGAGGCGGAGGUUCCCACAGCAGCCUCCUGAGCCUGGAUGGUGCAUGAAGGUGACCGGUGCCCCCAUGGCAGCUUUCUCUCUCCCUCCCUUCAUCAAAAUGGCACUGACACACGAGGGAGCAGAAACCUCAGGCCCUGCAUGAAUUUCCUAGGGCUACCGUAGCAAAGGACCACAAACUGGGUGGCUUGAAACAAGAAGAAUGUAUUCCCUCGCUGUUUAGGAGGCUAGAAGUCCUAGACUGUGGUGUCGUCGGUGGUGGGGAGGGGGAGGUCCCUUUGGAGGCUCCGAGGGAGCAUCUGCUCCAACCUCUCCCCCGCUGCUGGUGGGCGCCUGAAAUCCUUGGCGUUCCUUGGCUCAGAAAGCUGUAACUCCAAUCUUUGCCUCCGUCUUCGCAUUGCAUUCUCCUCCCUCUGUCUCUGUGUGUCUCUAUUUCCAAAUUUCCUUCUUAUAGGGACACCAGUCAUUGGAUUAGGGGCACUCUAACCCAGUAUGAAUUUAACUUGAAUAUAUCUCCACAGACCCUAUUUCCAAGUAAGGCCACAUUCACAGGUUCUGGCGGACAUGAACUUGGGGUGGGGAUGGGGAAUGCUAGUCAACCCAGUAUCUCCAGCCCCAGACAGAGGAAGGAACCACAUGUACCCUUUUAACCAUCACGUCUCUGUUCCUCUAUCCCCCACCAGCCCUAAGCAAUCGUUAAUCUACUCUCUAUCUUUAUAGAUUUGCCUGUUCUAGACAUUUCAUAUAAAUGAAAUGGUAUAAUAUGUGGCCUUUUGUGUCUGGCUUAUUUUUUUUUUUUUAAGGAAGAGGUUUUAAAGAUUUUAUUUUUUUCUUCCUUUUUCUCCCCAAAGCCCCCCAGUACAUAGUUGUAUAUUCUUUGUUGUGGUCCUUCUGGUUGUGGCAUGUGGGACGCUGCCUCAGCGUGGUUUGAUGAGCAGUGCCAUGUCCGCGCCCAGGAUUCAAACCAACGAAACACUGGGCCGCCUGCAGCGGAGUGCAUGAACUUAACCACUCAGCCACGGGGCCAGCCCCUGUGUCUGGAUUAUUUCACUUUGCAUAAUGUCCCCCAGGUUCAGCCACGUGGUGGCACAUAUCAGUCCUGCGUUUCUUUGUAGGAGUGAUAAUUUUCCAUUGUAUGGAUAUACCACAUUUUGUUUAUCCAUUCAUCAGUUUGGGAGAUGAGGUUUUCUCUAUCUUAUAUGCCAGUCCCUGUUCUUUUUUUUUUAAGGAAGAUUAGCCCUGAGCUAACUACUGCCAAUCCUCCUCUUUUUGCUGAGGAAGACUGGCCCUGAGCUAACAUCCCUGCCCAUCUCCCUCUACUGUAUAUGUGGGACACCUACCACAGUUUGGCUUUUGCCAUGCUGUGCCAUGUCCGCACCCGGGAUCCGAACUGGCAAACCCCAGGCUGCUGAGAAGCGGAACAUGUGGACUUAACCACUGCACCACCAGGCCGGCCCUACCAGUCCCUGCUCUCAGUGCGUUAGCUCCUUUAACCCUCACAACCAGUUAUGAGGUAGGUGUUAUCAUUAUCCCUAUUUUACAGAGAGUGGAGCACAGAGAGAUGAUCUAACCCCUGCCAAGGUCAUGUAGCUGGUGAAUAUCUGCUUGGUCCCCAAGUUUGUGUGUGACUCCCAGUGCCACAUGAGCCCUCUUUUCAUUAGUGUCUUCAGGGGCAAUUCAUACAUACCUCAGCUGGCCCAUUUAUCCCUAAGUAGAAUCCAAGAUGGCGCACCAAGAGCCUCCAUCCCGUUCCCCACCUUCCCUCUCCUCACCUGCACCCCACCCAAGGGGUUGGUCAACAAACCCCUUCAAGGGGCAUCAUUUGGGCCUGUAAAAUCCUCAUUAUUUGGGACCUCACUAAUUCAGUAUUUGUGAUCUUUUCAAGAGGCUGUGCUGGCCUACAGGAUGUUUCAGUUAGCAACAUUUUCUUCCCUAUGCCUUACAAAUUCUAGGUGUAAAAAAGAUUGCAGAAGGCAUGUUUAAACAAAGUGUUUUCAAGCCUCCUCAAAAAUCACAGAAACCCCCAGGAGCAACCCCACAGCUGAGAUGCAAGUGACACACAACUCUUAUCCGUUCCACCAG